GUUGACUAAACAUGAAAAUUUCUCCGAUAGCUUUCUCCCUUCUCCUCACUCUUAUAUCGCCGGUUCUUCUACGUUGCUCCGGCGAUUUCACCGGUAGCGUCGAGGAUGAAUCUCCGCCGACCGUAUGUAUAGUCGGGAGUGGGAUCGGAGGCUCAUCCGUAGCUCACUUCCUCCGUAGCUACUCUGUUUCCACCGGCUUAAAUCGAGCCAAGAUCCUAAUGUUUGAGCGUCACGAGAUAGUCGGUGGACGUAUGAGAACAGUUACUGUCUCCGGUGAUGUUUUCGAGGCCGGUGGUUCGAUUCUGCAUCCGAAGAACUAUCACGUUAAGGAUUUCGUCGAGAGGUUUAAUCUGACGGUUCGAUUGCCGACUCCGAUUGAAGAAUCUUCAGCGAUUGGAAUCUGGGAUGGGAAGAGUUUUAUUGUUAAAACAUUCGGUUCCCGUAUCAAAUUCCCGUUUUUGGAUACGAUCGUGUCUUGGUUGAAUGAUCUCUACUUGUUCUUGCGUUAUGGGUUCUCACUGUUGAGAAUGAGCAGCUUCAUUGAGAAUACAGUUGAUAAUUUCUUGAAGUACUAUGAAAGUUUAGAGUCAAGACCUAUCUUCGACAAUGUUGAAGGGAUGCUUAAAUGGUCAGGAUUGUACAAUCUCACAAAGCUCACUCUACAAGAGAAAUUAUCUGAAGCUCAGCUUUCUCCUUUACUAGUCAACGAGCUGGUUACAGUUAUUACAAGGAUAAACUAUGGACAGAGUGUACUCAUCAGUGGACUAGCAGGUGCAGUCUCCAUGGCGGGUUCAGGUGGUGGUUUAUGGUCUGUUGAAGGCGGAAACUGGCAGAUGGCUGCAAAGCUGAUUAAUCAUUCAGAUGUUACAUUACACCUGAACGAGAAAAUUGAAUCCAUAUCACAUCUCGGUAAGUAUUACGAGCUUAAGUCCACAAAAGGAAACAGCUUCAAGUGCGAUGUCACGGUAGUUGCCACACCAUUAGACGAGGUGGAUAUACAGUUCUCACCCGAGAUCUCAAUUCCAAAGAGGGAAUUACAACACACACACGCAACAUUCGUGAGAGGACUUUUAAAUCCAGGAUAUUUUGGGAUGAAAUCAGUUUCUGAUGUUCCAGCUUUGGUGGGAACACUUGAAGAUCCUCUAAUUCCAUUCUCAAGCAUCUCAAUUCUAAGGAAGUAUAGUGACACAGAUAUGACAUACAAGAUAUUUACGCGACAAACUGCAUCAGAUUCAUUGCUUGAUGAGCUCUUCAGUACGAGAACCGAAACCAUUCGAAUAGACUGGGGUGCAUAUCCCAAGUACCACGCGCCUGAAGUAUUUGCACCGUUCAUAUUAGAUGAUCAUCACUUGUACUAUGUGAAUGCUUUUGAAAACGCAGCAAGCACAAUGGAGACAAGUGCAGUAGCUGGUGAGAACAUUGCCAGACUCAUAAUAUCCAGAUUCAUGACAAAAGAAUCAUCAUCUUCAUCCUCGGACAAAAGAAGCUGUAGUUCUGGUCUGCACUCAGACUUAUAAGCAACUCUUGACUGUGAUCUUUGAAGAAGAAAAUGAUGUUGUGUAUAUAGACACAUAAAGCUGUAAAAACUGUAACCUAAGCGUUAUGAUGAAGAGUCCUGUAAAGAUCCCAUUUUUUCAGGAACAGACGCGUCUUCUUCUUGUUCUUCUUUGGUAAAAGAAAUCAGAAGCGAAGAAGAAGAGGUCAAAUUCGAUUCGAUCGGAGAAGAUGGGUUGCUUCAGUUGCUUCGACGGAACCCAAAAACAACAGCGUAAGGAAGAAGAGAGACAAGCCUCCGCUGAAGCUCGCGCCAGAGCCGCCGAAGCUGCACAGCGACGGAAAGAGCAGUUUGAUAAGUCUGCAGCUGGAAGAGCAGCACAAGCUCAAUUAAAGCAAAUGGCUAAACAAUCUGCAAAUACUAACAAAGGAGAGCCUGUUCUUAAGUGGCAAAUGACGUAACUAUGAAGUCCUGGUUUCAUAAGCUCACCCGAAUUGUGAGAUUGUUCCAUUGUAAAUUGUGUACACUUUUAUGUUUGCAAGUCUUUUUAAUGUGAAUGGGAGGCUUAUUAUAUUCUUCCUUGUUCAUCUUAUUAUCUUUUGAAUUUGCAAUAAACGUAAAAAACAGAGUUCAAUGUUUAAGAUCA